rnacentral:rRNA from 1 species
AACCGGGAUUGCCUUAGUAACGGCGAGUGAAGCGGCAAAAGCUCAAAUUUGAAAUCUGGCGUCUUCGACGUCCGAGUUGUAAUUUGAAGAAGGCGACUUUGUAGCUGGUCCUUGUCUAUGUUCCUUGGAACAGGACGUCAUAGAGGGUGAGAAUCCCGUGUGGCGAGGAUCCCAGUUAUUUGUAAAGUGCUUUCGACGAGUCGAGUUGUUUGGGAAUGCAGCUCUAAGUGGGUGGUAAAUUCCAUCUAAAGCUAAAUAUUGGCGAGAGACCGAUAGCGAACAAGUACAGUGAUGGAAAGAUGAAAAGAACUUUGAAAAGAGAGUGAAAAAGUACGUGAAAUUGUUGAAAGGGAAGGGCAUUUGAUCAGACAUGGCGUUUGCUUCGGCUUUCGCUGGGCCAGCAUCAGUUUUAGCGGUUGGAUAAAUCCUCGGGAAUGUGGCUCUGCUUCGGUAGAGUGUUAUAGCCCGUGGGAAUACAGCCAGCUGGGACUGAGGAUUGCGACUUUUGUCAAGGAUGCUGGCGUAAUGGUUAAAUGCCGCCCGUCUUGAAACACGGACCUCCUGUGUGAAGUG